UGCCAGGAGAGGGAUUCGAACCCUCGUCGCACACUGCGAAUCAGAGGUGCCGGGUCGGUGGCAUCCCUCACACAUCCCAGUCAUUUCACUUUACUACAUAUACACACACAUUAUCUACACACCAAUCGCUACAAUUUCUGUUCUCUUUGGACGGACAGGGGUCGGGCGUCGGGGGGAUGGGAGAGAGACACCAGCGAUGAAUGCGACUCUGAUGCCAUGACCACUCGGCCACCCCGGU